CAUAUCGAAUAAAAAAUAGAUACCUUAAAAUGACAUUCCAUUGGUUGGUGUGAAAAGACACGGAUCACCAAACAAAAUAAUUAUGAGCCAUUGAUAACAUCAAAUCGAACAGUUCACAUUAUUUUAUGCUAGUCUAGUUGGAUCCUCGUAAAGGCUUCCAAAACUUUAUAAUGUGGAAUCGUGCUAACACACUCUCCAUCUACAUCUUACCAUCACUCUCACUUGUGAUUAUUCCUACCACAUGAAAUCCACACUAUAAAAUUUAUCACCUCUUAUUGUUCUCACCAAUUAGACUAUUAGGCUCUGGAAGGUUCAAGACUGACCUUCUCCACACUUUUAAUUAUUUUUUGUUGCGUUGAUAUCUUUUCUUGUUUUUAAAAAUUUUGAGUUCUUUUUGUUUAUGCUAGGUCCAUGAGUUGGGCAACAUAGCUUCGUUCAUGAACCUUCUCUACAGAUAUACUCAAAUGGAGUUUGUUGACCAUGUCAUCUAUUUCUCUACCCUCUCCUUUAUUCUUUGCCAUACUCUUUGUUUCAAUUAUGGACACUAAACAUCUUCAACGAUUGUGAUUUCCUUGAUUAAUGAAAUAAGUUUUCCACUUGAUCUUAAUUCUAAACCCGAUGAGGAGGAGGAACCAAUUUCUUGCUCCGAGGAAGCAAGUGCCAAUGUUGGUGGAAAGUGUGAAACCAGAGCCGCAACUUCUGCAUCAGAUGACAACAUUCGAGGUCGAGCAGAAGCUGCUAUCAUUGACAGAGUCAACGUUGUUGAACGAGGAUCUGACUUUGAGAAUAAGUUUUAUUAUUUGGAACUUACUAAAUGUUCCAUGAGGAUAUAAUUUAAUUUAUCGAUUUUAAUAUGACA